rnacentral:sRNA from 1 species
AAUACUAAAUCUAUAAACUUGUUAAAAAAGAUGACUGCACCCUUCUAAAAAACUCUAAUUUAUUUCUAUAAUAUCAUAAAACCACAUUUAGUUUGACUAUUUAAGUUUAUUUCUAUUUUAUGGUUUUGGUAAUUGUAAAACAUAAACAAAUAUUUAAAUCUGUCCGAAAUCUCAAAUGCGUUUUAAUUAAUAUUUUCUUUCUGCAUCAUUUGCACCUACGUGUAUGUUGUUUUUGUUUACAUCUAAGAUCAUAAUUCAAUUGUGAAGUUUUAUUUAUAAGCAGUUUGAAUUUUAUUGCUUUUGUGAAUUUUUGUGACUUUUUUUUUUUUAUCAUUUUAUUUUCCAUCUCCAUGCAUUAUAUUUUUUUUUAAUUAAAUAAUUAGGUCUUUUGCUUUGCUUAAUCAUUUAUCCUUGAUUUCAGUUUGUUUUUAUUGCGCUUGCAUUUAUCAUAAAAUCUGACAGAAUUUGUGUCCAUCAGUAUCGUAUUGUAAAAAUUUAAGAGUUUAUUUUGUAUUAUUAUUUCCUCAUUUGUUUGCUUGUGUUUAAUUUUCAAAUAAUAAAAUGACAGUAAUAAAGAAUGAUUUCUACAUUUAACU